UACAGAGGGUGCGAGCGUUGUUCGGAAUUAUUGGGCGUAAAGGGCGCGUAGGCGGUGCGGUAAGUCACCUGUGAAAUCUCCUGGCUCAACUGGGAGCUUGCAGGCGAAACUGCCGUGCUGGAGUGUGGGAGAGGUGCGUGGAAUUCCUGGUGUAGCGGUGAAAUGCGUAGAUAUCAGGAGGAACACCUGUGGCGAAGGCGGCACUCUGGGCCGGUACUGACGCUGAGGAGCGAAAGCGUGGGGAGCGAACAGG
rnacentral:rRNA from 1 species